UUCGCCGCUUAAAGACUCUCUGUUUCAAGACUCUGCUUCAAGACGCAUAGUCAUAGAUAUGCGGCCGGCCCAUUGUUCACGAUCGCGCUUAACCAAACUCAGCCGUUGGGGAUCUCGUCGGCAGAAGACGACGACGGAGGUGACGAAGAGCGAAUAAGCAAUUGCAGUAGCGGAGAUUCUGUCUCCUAUGACCCAAGCCUUUGUGUACACGAGAGACGUCUACCCUUUUUUAAAUCGUUUUCAGAUGUCUUGAGAUUGAUUCACCGGCUUGGCUUGGUCGUCUCGAGCAAACAGCUUGCUCUUCUCCGGCUAAGCACCACAUCGAAGCGUUCACGAGCUUACUCUCAGAAGAAGGGAGUGAUGCUUCUGUCGAGAUGGCCAUAGCUAAAGCUGCUGAUGCUAUACUGUACAACAAGCAAUCAAGUACCACAGUCACUCCAUGUCUGAUCCUGGGAGCACAAACCGUACAAGAGAUGAGAUAUCUAGUGUGAGGCAGGUUUUGAGCUUGAUCAGAAUCUGUUUGGUCCUGUGGAGAUUUAGACUUGAGGCCUGAGGGAAGCUUUGCAGCUGGUGCUAGUUCCCAAACUCUUCUCGCAAAGGGGCAUAGCCUGAGAAUGUGGAGUAUGGUGUCUGAUCUAUUAAUGUGUGUUUGCUUGUUUUUGGCAUUAAUGGUGUUCAUAUUUUUGUUUUCUACCCUAAAUGUCAUAUGCACUUUAGCAAAAACAAAGCCACAAAUAUUGCAAAAGAUUUUGUUAAGCAACUACCA